CCUACGGGUGGUCAGCAGUAGGGAAUAUUGCUCAAUGGGGGAAACCCUGAAGCAGCAACGCCGCGUGGAGGAUGAAGGUUUUCUGAUUGUAAACUCCUUUUGUUAGAGAAGAUAAUGACGGUAUCUAACGAAUAAGCACCUGCUGACUCCGUGCCAGCAGCCGCGGUAAUACGGAGGGUGUAAGCGUUACUCGGGAUCACUGGUCGUAAAGGGCGAGUAGGCGGGAUGGCAAGUCAGAUGUGAAAUCCUAUGGCUUAACCAUAGAACUGCAUUUGAAACUGUUAUUCUAGAGUAUGGGAGAGGUAGGUGGAAGUCUUGGUGUAGGGGUAAAAGUCGUAGAGAUCAAGAGGAAUACUAAUUGCGAAGGCGACCUGCGAGAACAUAACUGACGCUGAGGCGCGAAAGCGUGGGGAGCAAACAGGAUUAGAUACCCGAGUAGUC
rnacentral:rRNA from 1 species